rnacentral:rRNA from 1 species
AAAGUCCCGCAAGGGAUGAGUAGAGUGGCAAACGGGUGAGUAACACGUGGGUGACCUGCCUUCGAGCGGGGGAUAACGUCCCGAAAGGGACGCUAAUACCGCAUGACAUCCUGCCUUUGAAGAGGCGGAGAUCAAAGCUGGGGAUCGCAAGACCUAGCACUUGAAGAGGGGCCCGCGCCUGAUUAGCUAGUUGGUGGGGUAACGGCUCACCAAGGCAACGAUCAGUAUCCGGCCUGAGAGGGCGGACGGACACACUGGGACUGAGACACGGCCCAGACUCCUACGGGAGGCAGCAGUGGGGAAUUGUUCGCAAUGGGCGCAAGCCUGACGACGCAACGCCGCGUGGAGGAUGAAGACCUUCGGGUCGUAAACUCCUUUCGAUCGAGACGAAUGGCUUCCUGGUGAAUAGCCGGGGAGUAUGACGGUACCGAGAGAAGAAGCCCCGGCUAACUCCGUGCCAGCAGCCGCGGUAAUACGGGGGGGGCAAGCGUUGUUCGGAAUUACUGGGCGUAAAGGGCUCGUAGGCGGCCAACUAAGUCAGACGUGAAAUCCCUCGGCUUAACCGGGGAACUGCAUCUGAUACUGGAUGGCUUGAGAUUGGGAGAGGGAUGCGGAAUUCCAGGUGUAGCGGUGAAAUGCGUAGAUAUCUGGAGGAACACCGGUGGCGAAGGCGGCAUCCUGGACCAACACUGACGCUGAGGAGCGAAAGCCAGGGGAGCAAACGGGAUUAGAUACCCCGGUAGUCCUGGCCCUAAACGAUGAAUGCUUGGUGUGGCGGGUAUCGAUCCCUGCCGUGCCGAAGCUAACGCAUUAAGCAUUCCGCCUGGGGAGUACGGUCGCAAGGCUG